GAGAGCGCUCUUGCGGGAGUCGGGCCAACUAACUGGUGCCGGCGCGGGCGCGCGCGCGUCUUCUGUCUCGGUCCUGCGCGUUUCCGCGCCGCGCCGCGUGCGCCGCUCCGGCCGCCGCUGCCGGUGGUGGUGGUGUGGUCGGUCGCCUCUCUCUCCUCAUCAUCGCCGCGCUAUUUAGUGCGUCCGGCCUCUCUCGCGCGUAGCGCCUCAAUGGGAAAUCGCUUACGAGAAAAAUUCCGCCUCCUUUUCAUAUUCAUACCCGCGUCCCUCGUCGGCGGCGGCUGUUAGCGCGGCUCUGCCAUGGAAGCCGCGACUGCUCCUUCUCGCCUCCUGCGUCCGAGCACGUGGAGCUGUUGGCAGGCGAUCGUUGCGCGCCUCCUGAUCGGACAGUGGCCGCCGGUGUCGACACGCGCGGCGAUGGGCAAG